rnacentral:rRNA from 1 species
GCUUAUCUGCAGUCGUGGGGCAGCAGGACUGUAGCAAUACAGUUGCUGGCGACCGGCAAACGGGUGCGGAACACGUACGCAAUCUACCCAAAACUGGUGAAUAGCCCUCCGAAAGGAGGAUUAAUACACCGUAACCUAUUGAAGUGGCAUCACUUUAUUAGUAUAGCUCCGGCGGUUUUGGAUGAGCGUGCGGCUGAUUAGAUAGUUGGCGGGGUAACGGCCCACCAAGUCUGCGAUCAGUAACUGGUGUGAGAGCACGACCAGUCACACGGGCACUGAGACACGGGCCCGACUCCUAUGGGAGGCAGCAGUAAGGAAUAUUGGUCAAUGGACGCAAGUCUGAACCAGCCAUGCCGCGUGGAGGAUGAAGGCCCUCUGGGUUGUAAACUUCUUUUAUCUGGGACGAAACCCUCAUAUUCUUAUGAGACUGACGGUACCAGAGGAAUAAGCACCGGCUAACUCCAUGCCAGCAGCCGCGGUAAUACGGAGGGUGCAAGCGUUAUCCGGAUUCACUGGGUUUAAAGGGUGCGUAGGAGGGCAGGUAAGUCAGUGGUGAAAUCUCCAAGCUUAACUUGGAAACUGCCGUUGAUACUAUCUGUCUUGAAUAUUGUGGAGGUGAGCGGAAUAUGUCAUGUAGCGGUGAAAUGCUUAGAUAUGACAUAGAACACCAAUUGCGAAGGCAGCUCACUACGCAAUCAUUGACUCUGAGGCACGAAAGCGUGGGGAUCAAACAGGAUUAGAUACCCUGGUAGUCCACGCCCUAAACUAUGGAUACUCGACAUACGCGAUAUACAGUGUGUGUCUGAGCGAAAGCAUUAAGUAUCCCACCUGGGAAGUACGACCGCAAGGUU